rnacentral:lncRNA from 1 species
GGUUUCAGCGGACGAGACAAUGGGCAGGAUGUUGGCUGAGCAGCUUCCGAGCAGAGCACCGAGGAGAUUUUGGUCCUGACGGAACCAUAGGCGAUAGUUAGGGUUGGGUUUGUUAUCGAUAAUUUUUGGUGGUGGGGUUGUACGGCCAUCAACGAACUGUUCAAGUUCUAGGCCAGUGAGGGUUGCCAGAACUUGUUUCCGCCAACUAGUGAAGUUAUCGGAGGUUAGUUGAAUGGGGAAGUGAGUGUGGGUGGAGAGAUUGAUGAUUGUGGUGGCUGCCAUGGCUGAUCAAAAAACAGAGGAUUUGGAUCGGAGUAACUCGGAGGAGCUUUGUUAGAGCUCUGAUACCAUAUAACAGGUAUUCAAGCCUUGAUUAUUGCAUUGCCUUAUACAUAUACGUACAUAUCCAUUGUUCUUUACGCAUGCGUCCGGCUUGCACUUGGUUAAGAUUAUAUCUUAUUAUGUAACAUUUUAUUGUAUUUGUUUCCCAUUUAUAUGGCUUACUUAACAAGUAUUGAAACCACAAAAAAUACAUACAUCUACAUGUUUAUUAUAAAUGUAUAGAAGAUCAGUUAAAUGUGAUUGAAACUUUUAAGAUAAAAACUGAAAAUAAGAUCAUGAUGAUUAUUUUUAAUUUGUGAAGAAAGUUAAAAGUUGUGGUGAUUGCAAAUAAACGCUUCGUGCAGGAACUCAAGAAUUUGCAGAAGAACCCUAAUCUUUCUGUUGUGCACUAAAUGAUGGGAGGAUUACUUUGUUAAGGUUUGGGACUUGGGAGGAUUAGUUUGUUAACGUUUAUUAGAACUUGAUGAUUCUCAUAGAAAAUUAUUUAUUUAAAGAGAUGGAGGAUCCUUACACAGAGGCUGGAAUCAUCCUCUACUACAAGCUUACCGACGGAUUUUCUGAUCAAUUAGCAAAAUUAGUUUAGCCGGUGGUCUAAAUGUCAACUACCAAUCAAGGCACUGGCGAACAUACGUUUCUGGAUCCACUUUGUGGCGAAGGCUACCCGUUAGAUGGGACAAGAUUGUGAUAGUGGUGAUGGAUGAGGUUCGUUUUAGCACAGUCCAUAUCUAGCUGAAUCUGUUACUAGAGGAACUCCUGCUGUGAAUGAGCGGGUCAGGAAAGUCGUUCUAAGUGAAUUCACUCGAGGGUUACAAGAUGAGAUGGAAUCAAGCUACUAAUACUUGACAACGAAGACAGACCUACAAAUAAAACAAUGAAUGUUGUAUAU